UCGAACGAGGUCUUCGGACCUAGUGGCGCACGGGUGAGUAACAUGUGGGAAUCUACCUGAAGGUUCGGAAUAACUGCGGGAAACUGUAGCUAAUACCGGAUGUGUCUGCAAAGAGAAAGAUUUAUCGCCUUCAGAUGAGCCCGCACUAGAUUAGCUAGUUGGUGAGGUAAUUGCUCCACCAAGGCUACGAUCUAUAGCUGAUUUGAGAGGAUGAUCAGCCACACUGGGACUGAGACACGGCCCAGACUCCUACGGGAGGCAGCAGUAGGGAAUAUUGGACAAUGGGGGAAACCCUGAUCCAGCAAUGCCGCGUGAGUGAAGAAGGCCUUCGGGUUGUAAAACUCUUUCAUCAAUGAUGAUAAUGACAUUAGUUGAAGAAGAAGCUCCGGCUAACUUCGUGCCAGCAGCCGCGGUAAUACGAAGGGGGCUAGCGUUGUUCGGAAUCACUGGGCGUAAAGCGUAUGUAGGCGGAUCAAAAAGUUAGAUGUGAAAUCCCUGGGCUCAACCCAGGAACUGCAUUUAAAACUAGUGAUCUAGAAUUUGGUAGGGGUUAGUAGAAUUUCCAGUGUAGAGGUGAAAUUCGUAGAUAUUGGAAAGAAUACCAGUGGCGAAGGCGACUAACUGGGCCAUUUUUGACGCUGAGAUACGAAAGCGUGGGUAGCAAACAGGAUUAGAUACCCUGGUAGUCCACGCAGUAAACGAUGAGUGCUAGUCGCUGGGACAAUA
rnacentral:rRNA from 1 species